CAUUAAGAAGCUAUAUAGCGUUAGCCUUUUAAGUUGAAGAUUGAGAGCCCAAAUCUCUCCUUAAUGA